rnacentral:rRNA from 1 species
AAUCAACGCUGGCGGCGUGCCUCAGACAUGCAAGUCGAACGCGAAAUCCCGAGCAAUCGGGAGAGUAGAGUGGCGCACGGGUGAGUAACACGUAGGUAAUCUACCUUCGGAUGGGGAAUAACAACCGGAAACGGUUGCUAAUACCGCAUAAUGCAGCGGCACCUAAUGGUGACAGUUGUUAAAGCGGGGAGUCGAAGACCUCGCGUCUGAAGAGGAGCCUGCGGCGGAUUAGCUAGUUGGUAAGGUAAUGGCUUACCAAGGCAACGAUCCGUAACCGGCCUGAGAGGGCGGUCGGUCACACUGACACUGACAUACGGGUCAGACUCCUAC